CCUCAGCUCUCCACACGUAGAAGCUGUUUCACUUGCGCUUCUACGGCCGGUAAAAAGUUGUAAAAGAAGCGUGUUUUCUGGUGCAACAGUCGUGUCGGGUUCUCUUUGUCCUUUGCUUUAACUUUCCCCGUUUCUGAUCUAUAUUCUUCAAAUAUCUGUCCCAAAAAUGGUGCAAUCAGCGCUGAACGCGAUGCCGGAGUCGCCAUUUUGAUGAUACGUUGAGCCUGACUAAACUAUCACACUUAUGAUAAACUUGUUUUCACGUAGUUCCCAGUUCACCUAAAAGAACAUAAUUGACACCGCAUUAUCAGCGAACCAUCAGUGAUGACCCAGCAAAAUAAAACCAUGAAUUUUCUAAUACACGACGCUAAUGGGCAACCGCAAGUUAUCAAAGUGGUACCAAGCACUCAAACUAAAACAUUGAGCGGACUUGUGAGUUCCACAAAUGCUGGAAACCUCAAAGUAUUCAAGACGCCAAACCAGGAUACCCAGGUUCUUUCUGGCGGAACUCAAGUUCUCAGAACUAUAAGUAUACAAGGCUCCUCAACGCCUGGUCAGCGCCUGGUCACGAUUCCUGUACAAAAUGCAAAAAUGUCUACAGUGAAGCCUGGUGAAUCUGUCGUCACUAAAACUAUUCAACUUACCACCGCUCGAAUGAGCGACUUCAAACAGGCCGUGGUGGCUCAGCCACAACAACAGGCUAGUGGUCAACAACAGAUUGGUAAGGAUCAAUCAGUAAAAACGUUCAUCAGUCCUAUUUUGGACCACACUGGAUCUAGGAAACGCCAGGACGUUGAGAGCAGCGACUUCGUCCCAGAGUACAAACGGAGAAAAACUGAAAAAGUUGGAAAGGGACUACGCCAUUUCUCAAUGAAAGUCUGUGAGAAGGUGAAAAAAAAAGGCACGACAUCGUACAACGAAGUCGCUGAUGAAUUGGUUGGUGAAUUUACUAAUCCGGCGCACAUUAAUUCGCUAACCGAACAGCAGUAUGAUCAGAAAAAUAUCAGGCGGCGCGUGUAUGAUGCAUUGAACGUGUUGAUGGCAAUGAACAUAAUUUCCAAGGAGAAAAAGGAAAUAAGGUGGCUCGGUUUACCUACAAAUUCCCUGCAGGAGUGCUUAUCAUUAGAGAAGGAUAAGAAGAAAAAGAUAGAAAGAAUCAAAGCCAAGACGCAGCAAUUGCAUCAGUUGAUUUUGCAACAUGUGUCCUUCAAAAAUUUAGUGGAACGAAACCAUGAGAAUGAAAAUGUUUAUGGACCGCCUAAGCCUAAUUCCGCUAUUCAGUUGCCGUUCAUUAUUGUCAACACCAGUAAGAAAACUGUUAUCGACUGCAGCAUUUCACAUGACAAAACCGAGUACCUGUUCAAUUUUAAUGACAAGUUUGAGAUACACGACGAUAUAGAAGUUUUAAAGAGAAUGGGACUGGCUUUUGGUCUAGAGAAGGGUGACUGUACGGAUGAGGAUUUAAGAAAAGCAAAAACCAUGGUGCCAAAGUCCCUUGAAAAAUACGUAGAGCAGUUGGCAACUGGAGACUUAGAGAGUCUUAUUCCUGUGAAAAUUCCUGGACCGAGCACGUCGAUCGACGAACUAGAGAUAAAGUUGGAAGAAUCUGGAUCUCGACCACCGUCUUCAUCUCGCACUUCUCUUUCCGAAGAUCCUUUGUCGCCACCAUCGCAGUAUUUCUCAGAAGAAGAAGACGAGGAAGAAGAAAGCGACCAAGACGAUGAAGUGCCAAGUGAUCUCGAAGUCAACUAAAAUACCAGUCCUCAGUAUUCGCAUCACUUAAGAUUAUGCAAAGUAAAAGUCAUUCUUGCGAACACUCGAUUCCUGCAUCGUUAGAAUUCAAAACAGCUGAUGUGGUCGGAUGGCUGUCGAACUACCAAAUUAGAACCGAGCGAUAACACUCCAAACGGAAUGUGUAUUCAGAUGUAGCUUUCGUGCUUCAAAGAAAUUGCCGGAAUGGCCGGACUCCGGACGGAAAUGGGGCCGGAAAAUGGAAUUGCGGCGACGUCUGUACAUUUUUUUUUUUGUACUAUCUAAUCGUUGUUUGCACAGGGACUGAAAUCGGUGCUAUUUUAAUCGUGCGUCGUAUCCUGGAAUUAAACACUAAUAUGUACAUACAUACGUGUUAUAAAUAACAAUUGUAAUCUUACAAUAUACAAUAUCGUUAAUAUCCCAUGUAUUAAGGAUAACAAAAAAAAAAGGAAGACAAAUACAACUUUUACUUACUUUCUUAUGGUACAUGAAGAGAAAAAAGAACGGUAUAUAAAGCACACAGCAUGAUACAACAUUAUAGACAAUGAAGGGACAAAUACGAAUCAAGUAAUGAUACAAACGUACAGACUAAGGUCUGGCUAAUUUGCAAUAAAUAAAUCGUAACAUUAUUACAAGAUGAUAUUUUUUUUUGAAAAUUACAAGUCGCUACCUCUCGAUAUGCCAAAUUUGAAGCAGUCAAUAUGUCCUACUAAUAUUCUGUCACUGAAAAAGGUAUCGAUUUUAAUAAUAGGGUCGUGACAUGAGACUUGCAUUGCAUGUUUUCCAUUUUAUGAUAUCGGGGUUCUAGGGGGUACACUCAUGGUAAACCGACGUAAGAAUUUUAUUGAUGAAUUUUUAAUUUAUUAUUAUUGCAAUUCAAAUUGGGUGUGUUAAAUAGCUCUUGUCCCUCCACCGUCGAUUCGUAUAUAGCGCUGGUUGUUUGCAAUUUGUAUUACCUAUCUAUUCUCAAUGGUACAACUAUCGCGCACAGCUCCAGUCGUCUGCUGUCUUUGUGGCAUGUUGCUCCCCUUGAGCAGUGCAAAAUGUUGAAUUUUCAAUCAAUUGUGACUUCCGUGAUAGGCUGAUGUCAAGAAUCUUCUUAUAGGUAUGUAUUAUCAAACUUGAAUCUUUCAAUAAAUCCUAGGCAUCUCUAGGUACCCUAUUGGAACUGCACUGGAUCAACUCAACAAAUUACAACAGAUGAGCAAAAACA
rnacentral:misc_RNA from 1 species